rnacentral:lncRNA from 1 species
UAAAAUAAGCACAAUUUAAUACUGUGAUCGAUGUAAUCGACUUAACAUCUUUAAAAUUGCUGACCUUGUGCCAAACUUAGAAACCAAGGUUUAGAGUGUCCAAAGAUGAAACCACUAGCCAAUAUGAGAUUGGUUGAUGGAAUGUAAUUUAUAAAGCGACAAAAGGAAGCUGAAUUAUUGGCGCAUACCAGAGGGAAUUUCAUGAGGUUACAAAAAGUAUAUACAGCAGUAUAAAAACAAGGAGAGGAAUGGAGCAAGUAAGAAAAAGAGGAGUGCUAGAUAAGCAACCCACACUACAACCUGCCAAGUUAUAGGAAUUUGACCAAAAGAAGAAAAUGUAAGCGAACACGUGUUAUUUCAAAUGCAAACAGGAUUUAUUAUUUUCUUAAAUGGUUUGUAUAGAAAAGAUAUAUCGAAAUUUGAUGUUUUUCACCGUACAGCUUAAGAGAUAAUUAAGAUUCGAUCCUGCGGCACACACACACACACACACACACACACACACACACAAUCAUAUGUGUACAUUUGUAUAUAUGUAUAUGUGUAUGUGUGCAUAUGCAACAGAGACUUCCUCGCUUUUACUUCAUUUCUCACCAAUUCCA